rnacentral:lncRNA from 1 species
AUUUAAUUUCCCUCCAUGUCUUUUUGUGGUGUCGUAGCUCGCGUCUGUGCGUCAUCACUGAAUAACGUCCCGUUUCCUGGAGGGCCGGGUGUAUCGCUGGCCCGCUGAAGGACACCUCAUCUCGCCAUCAUUGUGGCGAAUACAGGUAGCUUCCGCUGCCAUCAGCACUAACCUUGGAAUGUCCUCUCCUCCUGCUGUUUCCUGCAGCCUCAAGUCGGCUGCUCUCUGCCCAGACACACGGAUCUGCUCGAAUCUUCAGGUCUUGAGCCUAAGCCAAGCAGGUGACCCACGAGGGGACCCGCAGGUGUCCACACACGUCUCUGGAGUGGACAUGAUUUCGUAGGUCAGACAUGUGGGAAGUCGGAGGAGAGCAAGGAAGCACGUCGGGCACCGUUCAUGUGCGACCUUCGGCUGCCCUGACGUCUCAGAUCUCGGCCUGGCUAACGUGUUCAGGCCCCACUAGCUUUACUGUGAAGAACUGAGCCUUCGCAGCUGGUCGUUAACUGCUCAGUAAAUUGUCUCAAGAUUGCACGUGAUUGCUCGAUUAAUAAAACCCAUAUGAAGAGAAAUGAAGUUAAUAAUGAAGUCGGAGCGAUGCUCUCCGUGCACCACCUUGCAAUGGCGGUUCCUGGCCUCAAAAUGAGCGACUAAAGACCACAACGAGCCCUGCAAUAAAAGUUAGUAGGCCAGAAA